rnacentral:rRNA from 1 species
GACGAACGCUGGCGGCGUGCUUAACACAUGCAAGUCGAACGGAAAGGCCCUGCUUUUGUGGGGUGCUCGAGUGGCGAACGGGUGAGUAACACGUGAGUAACCUGCCCUUGACUUUGGGAUAACUUCAGGAAACUGGGGCUAAUACCGGAUAGGAGCUCCUGCUGCAUGGUGGGGGUUGGAAGGUUUCGGCGGUUGGGGAUGGACUCGCGGCUUAUCAGCUUGUUGGUGGGGUAGUGGCUUACUAAGGCUUUGACGGGUAGCCGGCCUGAGAGGGUGACCGGCCACAUUGGGACUGAGAUACGGCCCAGACUCCUACGGGAGGCAGCAGUGGGGAAUAUUGCACAAUGGGCGGAAGCCUGAUGCAGCAACGCCGCGUGCGGGAUGACGGCCUUCGGGUUGUAAACCGCUUUCGCCUGUGACGAAGCGUGAGUGACGGUAAUGGGUAAAGAAGCACCGGCUAACUACGUG